GAUUAGAUACCCCACUAUGCUUAGCCAUAAACACAAAAAUUUGCACAACAAAAAUUUUCGCCUGAGAACUACUAGCCACAGCUUAAAACUCAAAGGACUUGGCGGUGCUUUAUACCCACCUAGAGGAGCCUGUUCUAUAAUCGAUAACCCCGAUACACCUCACCACUCCUGC
rnacentral:rRNA from 1 species